rnacentral:rRNA from 1 species
CUCUAUUGGGAGGCAUUGCCUGCCCAGUGACAACUGUUUAACGGCCGCGGUAUCCUGACCGUGCAAAGGUAGCAUAAUCAUUUGUUCUCUAAAUAAGGACUUGUAUGAAUGGCCCCACGAGGGUUUUACUGUCUCUUACUUUUAAUCAGUGAAAUUGACCUUCCCGUGAAGAGGCGGGAAUGCACAAAUAAGACGAGAAGACCCUAUGGAGCUUUAACUAACCAACCCAAAGAGAAUAGAUUUAACCAUUAAGGAAUAACAACAAUCUCCAUGAGUUGGUAGUUUCGGUUGGGGUGACCUCGGAGAAUAAAAAAUCCUCCGAGCGAUUUUAAAGACUAGACCCACAAGUCAAAUCACUCUAUCGCUCAUUGAUCCAAAAACUUGAUCAACGGAACAAGUUACCCUAGGGAUAACAGCGCAAUCCUAUUCAAGAGUCCAUAUCGACAAUAGGGUUUACGACCUCGAUGUUGGAUCAGGACAUCCUGAUGGUGCAACCGCUAUCAAAGGUUCGUUUGUUCAACGAUUAAAGUCCUACGUGAUCUGAUUCAGACCGGA